UGUAAAGUAGUCUAGUGGCAAGUCUUUUGCUUUCCAAGCUCUAGUUUGGGGUUCAAAUCCCCACUUUGUCU